GGGAUAAAUUAAAAAGAACUUCUAAUUCUUUAUAUAAAUAUUAAAUUAUUAUUAUCCUA
rnacentral:tRNA from 1 species